GCAACCUUAUGGCCCUGUGGCUAAGAUCAAGUGUAGUCCCUGUUCUUAUCAGUUUAACAUCUGAUGUGUACUUUAUUUGAGGACUGAAUAUUAAUUCUAUUUUUAGAACUGGGAUGUGAAAAGGGAGCUUGCUCCAUUCACUCCAAGCAUCAACCUGGUAUUGUACUGUCUCCAGGAAUGGUGACCCUCCC